rnacentral:rRNA from 1 species
CAGAGGUCUCAACCGUUGUUCGGAUUCAUUGGGCGUAAAGGGUGCGUAGGCGGUCGCGUAAGUCGGAUGUGAAAUCCCGGGGCUCAACCCCGGAACUGCAUUCGAUACUGCGUGGCUAGGGUACUGGAGAGGAGACUGGAAUUUACGGUGUAGCAGUGAAAUGCGUAGAUAUCGUAAGGAAGACCAGUGGCGAAGGCGAGUCUCUGGACAGUUACCGACGCUGAGGCACGAAGGCCAGGGGAGCAAACGGGAUUAGAUACCCCGGUAGUCCUGGCAGUAAACGGUGUACGUUUGGUGUAGGCGGAUUCGACCCCGCCUGUGCCGGAGCUAACGCGUUAAACGUACCGCCUGGGAAGUACGGUCGCAAGAUUA